rnacentral:rRNA from 1 species
AGUUGGUAAGGUAAUGGCUUACCAAGGCUAUGACGGGUAGGGGACCUGAGAGGGUGGCCCCCCACAAUGGAACUGAAACACGGUCCAUACACCUACGGGUGGCAGCAGUAGGGAAUAUUAGUAAUGGGCGAAAGCCUGAACUAGCAACGCCGCGUGUGCGAAGAAGGCCUUCGGGUUGUAAAGCACUUUUAGAGAGGAUGAGGAAGGACGGUACUCUCAGAAUAAGUCUCGGCUAACUACGUGCCAGCAGCCGCGGUAACACGUAGGAGGCGAACGUUAUCCGGAUUUACUGGGCGUAAAGCGCGUGUAGGUGGUUUGGUAAGUAGGGCGUGAAAGCUCCCGGCUCAACUGGGAGAGGCCGUUCUAAACUGCCAAGCUAGAGGAUGGUAGAGGGAGGUGGAAUUCCGGGUGUAGCGGUGGAAUGCGCAGAUAUCCGGAGGAACACCAGUGGCGAAGGCGGCCUCCUGGGCCACUCCUGACACUCAGACGCGAAAGCUAGGGUAGCAAACGGGAUUAGAGACCCCGGUAGUCCUAGCCCUAAACGAUGUAGACUUGGCGUCGGUGGUUUAAACGCCAUCGGUGUCGCAGCUAACGC